rnacentral:rRNA from 1 species
AGAUUGAACGCUGGCGGCAGGCCUAACACAUGCAAGUCGAGCGGCAGCACGGGUACUUGUACCUGGUGGCGAGCGGCGGACGGGUGAGUAAUGCCUAGGAAUCUGCCUGGUAGUGGGGGAUAACGCUCGGAAACGGACGCUAAUACCGCAUACGUCCUACGGGAGAAAGCAGGGGACCUUCGGGCCUUGCGCUAUCAGAUGAGCCUAGGUCGGAUUAGCUAGUUGGUGAGGUAAUGGCUCACCAAGGCGACGAUCCGUAACUGGUCUGAGAGGAUGAUCAGUCACACUGGAACUGAGACACGGUCCAGACUCCGUAACGGGAGGCAGCAGUGGGGAAUAGUUGGACAAGUGGGCGAAAGGCCUGGAUCCAGCCAUGCCGCGUGUGUGAAGAAGGUCUUACGGAUUAGUAAAGCUAACCGUUAAGUGGAAGGAAGGCAGUUACUAAUACGUAUCGUUAGUUU